rnacentral:lncRNA from 1 species
GCACUUUUUGUUUCUCAGUUGAUAAAGAUUGUUUCUGGCGAUGUCACACACUGAGUUGCAUGGAAAAAUAACUAAUGAGUUGCUCCGUUCAAUACAAAGAAGUACACAUGCAAAUCUUAAAUAACCCAAAGGCCUGUGACCCAGCAGAGGGAAAUGCAGCGAAAACACAGACAGCAUUUUUCUAGAUACAAGAACAGAGGAAAAUGCUGCGAAAACAGGGCCCACUAACGAAAUAGAAAGGAAAGCCUGAAGCUUUCCGCAUGAUGAGCCUCUCCGCUUUCCUUAACUUUACCCACUCAUCAAACGAAAGAAGGAAAAGUAGAUUCCCUUACGUGGAUCAUUUCAUUUGGCUUGACAAAAGCUAUCAGUUCCUCCAUAACCAAAUGCUAUAUCCCUUCAAAGCCAGCUCUAAAGACAACUCUUUUUAUGUCAGAUUUGUU